GUUUUUUUCCCUCCAUUUGAAUGAGAACUUCUCAACUUCAUACUGUAUCUUUUUACAUCUGUAGACUCUUUUGUGCAAGGUGUGACUGAUGGUGACUGGGAUAGACUUCGAGUGAUCCUUCGUCAACCUUACACUAAGAACAAGCAAUUUGGUUUGAGAUUUCUUGAUAUCAUUCCAAAUAAUGAAACAAUUAGCCAAGUGUCUGUCAAAUCAAAAACA